UCUGUCAAAAUGGUCAACAUGUCUUUGCCUACAUCGACAUUGGCAAAAUCAUCGUCUCUCAACGAUGGACCUACAACCUAAAAAUUGAAUUGGUCACAAUGUCAGCACUGAAAGAAAGAAUGAAAGUGAUAACCUGAGUAAUUUUUGUAAUUAUCCGGAUGUAAAACAUUUAACAUGCUUUUGUCAAGCAGUUCAUAUUCUGAGUUGACCUUAACCCAACUUAAACUUCGGCAUGAAACCAUAUCAAAGGACAAAUAAAGAAUUUAUGGUGCAACAGUUACGCUCAGCUACGCGGUUUGGACGAAUUCGUGUUCUUCUGCGCGAGUUUGGCAACGACGUUCGAGCCCUUUGGCGUUAUGGAGCGCCAUUUCCAACAUUCUUAAAACUUAUUGGAACAUUAGUGCUCUGCCUGCUAGUCAUACUGCCACUAAUCUACCCAAUAUUCGUUGUCGCCUUCACAUACUUUACCUGCGAGAGUCUCUACUUAAGUUGGCGACUGGAUGAACCUUGGCGAUUCCUGCCGACAACAAUCAUUCGACGAGGACUCUCCGCAGCGUUUCGACCCACAUGUCCACGUGACGUGUCGAAGGUUCGUGAAGUGCUGACAAGAGGGAUUCUCCUAGCUCAUUCUUUAGCCACUUCUGUGGAUUACCUGUGCGUUAUGCAAGGCCUAUUGGAUGAAACAUAAAUUUUUUACUUUAUAGACAGCUAAACUUAAAUAAAGUAAACUUCAGUAAAUA